GGAAUACGAUAUGUAGCGGUGAAAUGCAUAGAUAUAUCGUAGAACACCGAUUGCGAAGGCAGCUCACUAAACUAAUAUUGACGCUGAUGGACGAAAGCGUGGGGAGCGAACAGGAUUAGAUACCCUGGUAGUCCACGCCGUAAACGAUGAUCACUCGUUGUGCGCGAUACAUUGUGCGCGACUGAGCGAAAGCAUUAAGUGAUCCACCUGGGGAGUACGUUGGCAACAAUGAAACUCAAAGGAAUUGACGGGGGCCCGCACAAGCGGAGGAACAUGUGGUUUAAUUCGAUGAUACGCGAGGAACCUUACCUGGGCUUAAAUGCAGUUUGAUCGGCUUGGAAACGAGCUUUCUCUUCGGAGCAAAUUACAAGGUGCUGCAUGGUUGUCGUCAGCUCGUGCCGUGAGGUGUCGGGUUAAGUCCCAUAACGAGCGCAACCCCUAUCGUUAGUUGCUAGCAGGUAAUGCUGAGGACUCUAGCGAGACUGCCACCGUAAGGUGAGAGGAAGGUGGGGAUGACGUCAAAUCAGCACGGCCCUUACGUCCAGGGCUACACACGUGUUACAAUGGCUAGUACAAAGGGCAGCUACCUGGUGACAGGAUGCUAAUCUCACAAGCUAGUCUCAGUUCGGAUCGGAGUCUGCAACUCGACUCCGUGAAGUUGGAUUCGCUAGUAAUCGUAUAUCAGCAAUGAUACGGUGAAUACGUUCCCGGGCCUUGUACACACCGCCC
rnacentral:rRNA from 1 species